rnacentral:rRNA from 1 species
GACAGAGGGUGCAAACGUUGUUCGGAAUUACUGGGCGUAAAGCGCGUGUAGGCGGCAAGGCAAGUUGGAUGUGAAAGCCCACGGCUCAACCGUGGAAGUGCACCCGAAACUGCUGAGCUUGAGUCUCGGAGAGGAUGGCGGAAUUCCGCAAGUAGAGGUGAAAUUCGUAGAUAUGCGGAGGAACACCGGUGGCGAAGGCGGCCAUCUGGACGAGUACUGACGCUGAGACGCGAAAGCGUGGGGAGCAAA